CAGUCGAGCGAACAGAUAAGGAGCUUGCUCCUUUGACGUUAGCGGCGGACGGGUGAGUAACACGUGGGUAACCUACCUAUAAGACUGGAAUAACUCCGGGAAACCGGGGCUAAUGCCGGAUAACAUAUAGAACCGCAUGGUUCUAUAGUGAAAGAUGGUUUUGCUAUCACUUAUAGAUGGACCCGCGCCGUAUUAGCUAGUUGGUAAGGUAAUGGCUUACCAAGGCGACGAUACGUAGCCGACCUGAGAGGGUGAUCGGCCACACUGGAACUGAGACACGGUCCAGACUCCUACGGGAGGCAGCAGUAGGGAAUCUUCCGCAAUGGGCGAAAGCCUGACGGAGCAACGCCGCGUGAGUGAUGAAGGGUUUCGGCUCGUAAAACUCUGUUAUUAGGGAAGAACAUAUGUGUAAGUAACUGUGCACAUCUUGACGGUACCUAAUCAGAAAGCCACGGCUAACUACGUGCCAGCAGCCGCGGUAAUACGUAGGUGGCAAGCGUUAUCCGGAAUUAUUGGGCGUAAAGCGCGCGUAGGCGGUUUCUUAAGUCUGAUGUGAAAGCCCACGGCUCAACCGUGGAGGGUCAUUGGAAACUGGGAAACUUGAGUGCAGAAGAGGAAAGUGGAAUUCCAUGUGUAGCGGUGAAAUGCGCAGAGAUAUGGAGGAACACCAGUGGCGAAGGCGACUUUCUGGUCUGUAACUGACGCUGAUGUGCGAAAGCGUGGGGAUCAAACAGGAUUAGAUACCCUGGUAGUCCACGCCGUAAACGAUGAGUGCUAAG
rnacentral:rRNA from 1 species